AUGUGUAUUUGUAAACUUUGUGGCUUCCGUGCACGCAAAUUUAUAUUGUUCAGUUUGCAUGUUAAAAGCCACAAACAUGUAGCUAACUAUAGGCUUUCUCGUGGAACUGAGUUAGUCCUGCUACUUUCAGAACAUUUUCUGCCUUUCAUUCACAUAUGCAUUGGAAUCACAGAACAAGAAGGGAGACCACUGAGGAGAAGUUCUAUGAGUUCACGGGUGACCUCAGCUGUCAAGUUCCUGGAUGUGGGGAUGGAAAUUGAAGAGGAACUUACAAGCCUCCUGCCAACACUAGACAGAGAGAAAAUAAUCUGCAUUGUAGAACAUCUGACAGACGUUAUUGGUGUACAACAAAAAAGUGAUCUUUUGUUUGUGGAAGAUCUCAAACCCUUUCUCACACCAAUUCAAAUACGUAAACUACUUCUUGCAUUUAAAGGAGGUUUGUGUAGGUUCUGUACAAAUCAUAGACUUGAGUCUAUGAUUUGAAGGUCACUCAUAGACUCAUAUGUCACUGAUUAGCUUGAUUAGCUUUUUUUUUCUCUUCACCAUACUACACAUGUACUUUGACAGUAUAAUAUUGAAGAGCGUUUUGGGGCUCACAUUGUCUGGUAGUUAAUUAACAUGGAAAACAUAAACAAAAGUAGACACUAAAUCUAACACCAUUAACCUUUCAUUGGUAGUGGUACAACUAAGGGUUUGAAAUUGUGACAUACUGUAAAAUAUAUUGACUCAAGGUCUUUUCAAUGCAAGACCUUGAGUUUGUAGUUCUUUUGCAGUCCUGGGAUUGCUUCUUUUCAUCUUCAGACAAGGUCCCCAAAAACUGCCUUGCCGUUACUACUCAAUCCUAAUUGAAGGGUUCAUAUUUUAGUGAGGACAUAUUUGUUGACAUAGUAGCUUUUUAAGGUAACUUUUCCAAUGAUCUUUAUUUAUUUAUUUAUGUGUUUAGAUGGCAACAGACCAGAGAACCUGAAUGACACCAUUACUCUGGAGCUUUGCCCUGCUGCAUCAGCUGAAACAUCAAGCCAUCCACGUCCACCCCUCCGUCCACCACUAUGUACAACCAUUACUCCAGCUCUUGGGUCUCACACUUACAGAUUCCUUGUGAAAGAUUUCCACUCCGAUUGUCGCAUGCAAUCACAAGAGGGGACAGAGCUCAUCCAGAGGACAGGAGAAGUCAGCUAAUUGUGAUAGAUGAUGAAUGAAUUAUCCCUAAGUAACUCAUUAUUUCAAAUCACAACUCAAUGUUACUGUAUGUUACUGUUUAUUAUGGCAUGUUUUAAGGUUUUUUGUAAGGAUUAACCCUGAAGAGGGAACAAAAUGUACCUCCAAGGUUGGGACAAGCAGAAAGACUGGGACCACUGUGAAGCGAAAGGUUGCUCACAUUAACCCUCAUGUCACAACUUUCCUCCAGCGGCUUACUGAAUUUGAGUGGAGAACUUCAAAUUAGGUAACUGUUUUUGCCAUUUUUAGUGAAUUUCUUGUAUAAUUUAAGUGACUAAUGUGUUGUUACCUGUGUCUCCACAGAUGAUCCGUGGCCCAUGCUUUCUGGACAUUUACACAAGACGAACAACAAUGAAGACAAGCUCUCUCGCCAUCUUGCAAGACGCUGACUCUGUCCAAUAGGUUUUUUGAGUGCAACAGUUUUGAUUUUUUUUUCCUUCUUUUACCCGUUUGUUAAAAAUUAUUUCAGCUACUUACACUUUAGUUGUCACAUGUAUUGGCUCACCCUACAAAUCAAUUAACUCAGUCCACAAAGCAAGGUCAGGGUUCAGUGCAGGUCAGUCAAGUUCCUUCACACCACACACGCUCAUCCAUGUCCUUGUGGACCCUGCUUUGUGCAUUGAUUUGGUGGUGUGAGCCAGUAUUUUGGAUAAAGUGUAUAUAAAGGUAGAAGUUUGGGGCUUGAUAUUAUAUUCAUUACAAUUACAAUUCAGUUUAUUUGUAUGGUGCCAACAAAAUGAAUGCCAAGGCACUUCACAGUGUAGGUUUAAGACCCUAAAAAAUAUAACUAAGAAAACCCAACACUUGAGCAUAUGUUGUCUGCCAUGAUAUGGAUAUGACAUAAUAUUGUUAUUGUUUGUACAACCAUCUGAGAAAAUAAUGGAUUACAUGGUUUAGUAAAAACAAGUGCUUCCUCAAUGAAAAUAUGUUUUCAGUUCUUUUCAGUUUUUGAUUUUGGAAAUGUGUAUUUCAUCAGGGAAAAAUCAGAACAAAUAAAAAGUGGUGUGAAGCACAUGAAUUAUUUUGUGUGUGUGUGUGUGUAUCUAUCUAUCUAUCUAUCUUGAUCAAUCGAUCUUUAGUGGGUAU
rnacentral:lncRNA from 1 species